UCAGAUCACAAUGACGAUAAAAAGCUCCCUCUUCUGAAUAAGAAGUUGUAGACAAUUGUAGGCAGAAUCGAACCUAAUUUUAAUACUUGCCACUACUGAGAGUGA